CCGCUUAUAGAUGACCUUGCGGUGCGUUAGUUAGUUGGUGGGGUAAUGGCCUACCAAGACAAUGAUGCAUAGCCGACCUGAGAGGGUGAUCGGCCACAUUGGGACUGAGACACGGCCCAAACUCCUACGGGAGGCAGCCAGGGAAUCUUCCGCAAUGGGCGAAAGCCUGACGGAGCAAUGCCGCGUGAGUGAAGAAAGCCUUCGGGUCAUAAAACUCUGUUAUAAGAGAAGAACAAAUUGUAGAGUACCUGCUACCGUCUUGACGGCAUCUUAUCAGACUGCCACGGCUAAUAACGUGCGAGCAGCCGCGGUAAUACGUAGGUGGCAAGCGUUGUCCGGAUUUAUUGCGCGUAAAGGCGAGCGCAGGUGG
rnacentral:rRNA from 1 species